AGGGAGGGAAGGAAAAGGGGAAGGAAGGGAGGGAGGGGUUUGACAGCUUGAAAAACUGAGCUGAAAGAGGGAUGGGUAUUCCGAAGUAACCUGACUCUGGAUCCCACACUUCCCUCCAGAUCGGGGACUCACUUCGAUAAGCUCAUCUCACAAGUCUGCUCUUGCACGAGGGUGAAUGAAAUCAGUUGGCAUCCAGCUCACUUCUUCACGGCAAUAGACCGCCAUGUCCUUCUGCACCUUUCUGCAUCCGUAUCCUCCCUGAGGGCUUCCCCCGUGCAUUCUACAUUCUAUUCCAUCUCAGUAGCAAGGCCCCUGUGGUCCCAACUGAGGCCCCGCUAACUCGUCGGCUGCUGAAGCCUCUGCAGCCAUCCCCCCCGCUGCCCACAGACAUCCUGGGAAUGAGGCACAGUCGUUUCUCUGGACAGAUGUGGCAACUGAGGGUCAGGUCGUUGAAGUAAUUAAAGUCCCCCAGUGAGACAGAAGCGGCAUCAGGCCCUACCCCUGCCUAUCCGAUUCAGAAGUACACGUGGUGGGUCACUGUGUCAGCCCGCUUCUAAGAGCAAUUAUUAGUAAUCACGAGGAGCGGGCGAGACAUUGCACAGCUGAGUCAGCCAGCAGCCAGACCUACGCUUGUGAAUCGGUCACCUCUCCUGUUGUCUGACAUCCUCCCCUGGCAUCUGGGAAAGGGCUUUCUCUAGCCAGACUCCCCUGCCUCUGUGCCCUAGAGUCGGGCUGCCCUCCUGUGCCAAGAUUCACUUCCUCUCUUCUGACCUGUCUUCUUGCACCCUGGGCAAGGAGAGGCAGAAAGACUUGGUCCUGGCUGAGUCUGCUGCAGGGACUCUGGUCACUUUGUCAGCUGAUAGAGACAGCGAGUGGGUGGCUCAGAAAGCCCAUGGGACACAGCCCUUGUUAUGAAACCACCAUUGGUUCCAGAAGGGAAAAUUCCUUUACUGCCCACCUUGGGAGGGAUGGGCUGCCUGAGGGCUGUCCGCCUUCACAGGAAUGGAGAAGACCGGGGACAGGAAUCGGGUGUGGCAAGGGGCCAUAAAAUUUUCCAGUCUCUUCCCCUCUGCGGUUCUGUUCUAUGUCUGUAAUCGAUCAUCUGGUGUGCUGGAGCUUCGGGCGUGAUUUCGGAUGUUUGACCCCAUUGUUGAGCCUCACAGCGGUACUCUGCCGGUAAAUGAGCUUGGUGUUUGGACCAGGGUGACUCAAGGAUACAAGUCUCUCACGACCCCUGGAACUCACCCACUGGAAGGAUGGGCAGCCAAUGAGCACCAGAGAUUUGCUCUUCUCUACCUCGGCACUGGGGUUACAGGUAUGACCGUGUGAUGGUGUCAGAAGCCCUGGAACCGGAGUUACAGACAGGCGGGAGCAGC
rnacentral:sRNA from 1 species